UCCCUCUUAGCUCAGUGGUAGAGCGCAUCACUUGUACUUUACAGGUAUGAUGAGGUCAGUCGUUCAAUCCGGCUAGGGGGAA